GAUGAACGCUGGCGGCGUGCCUAAUACAUGCAAGUCGAGCGAACGGACGAGAAGCUUGCUUUUCUGAUGUUAGCGGCGGACGGGUGAGUAACACGUGGAUAACCUACCUAUAAGACUGGGAUAACUUCGGGAAACAGGAGCUAAUACCGGAUAAUAUUUUGAACCGCAUGGUUCAAAAGUGAAAGACGGUCUUGCUGUCACUUAUAGAUGGAUCCGCGCUGCAUUAGCUAGUUGGUAAGGUAACGGCUUACCAAGGCAACGAUGCAUAGCCGACCUGAGAGGGUGAUCGGCCACACUGGAACUGAGACACGGUCCAGACUCCUACGGGAGGCAGCAGUAGGGAAUCUUCCGCAAUGGGCGAAAGCCUGACGGAGCAACGCCGCGUGAGUGAUGAAGGUCUUCGGAUCGUAAAACUCUGUUAUUAGGGAAGAACAUAUGUGUAAGUAACUGUGCACAUCUUGACGGUACCUAAUCAGAAAGCCACGGCUAACUACGUG
rnacentral:rRNA from 1 species